rnacentral:tRNA from 1 species
UUUCCAUUAGCUCAAUGGAAGAGCAUGAUACUUCUAAUAUCCAGACCAAGGUUCGAAUCCUUGAUGGGAAU